UACAGUCAUAUCACCUUGAAACACCGAUUCCCGUACAAUCACCGAGGUUAAGCAAUGGCAAGUCUGGUCAGUACCUAUAUGGGUAACCGCUUAGGAAUAAUUGGUGCUGUAA